ACGCACGCUGGCGGCGUGCUUAACACAUGCAAGUCGAACGGAAAGGCCCUGCUUUUGUGGGGUGCUCGCGUGGCGAACGGGUGAGUAACACGUGAGUAACCUGCCCUUGACUUUGGGAUAACUUCAGGAAACUGGGGCUAAUACCGGAUAGGAGCUCCUGCUGCAUGGUGGGGGUUGGAAAGUUUCGGCGGUUGGGGAUGGACUCGCGGCUUAUCAGCUUGUUGGUGGGGUAGUGGCUUACCAAGGCUUUGACGGGUAGCCGGCCUGAGAGGGUGACCAGCCACAUUGGGACUGAGAUACGGCCCAGACUCCUACGGGAGGCAGCAGUGGGGAAUAUUGCACAAUGGGCGGAAGCCUGAUGCAGCAACGCCGCGUGCGGGAUGACGGCCUUCGGGUUGUAAACCGCUUUCGCCUGUGACGAAGCGUGAGUGACGGUAAUGGGUAAAGAAGCACCGGCUAACUACGUG
rnacentral:rRNA from 1 species